AGAGAGAGACAUGCGCGCAUAUCAAUAAGCGGAGGAAAAGAAACUAACUAGGAUUCCCCUAGUAACGGCGAGUGAAGCGGGAAGAGCUCAAAUUUGAAAUCUUAAAGGUUUCCCUUGACGAAUUGUAGUUUAAAGAAGUGUUUUCUGUUGAGGUUUUGGUAAAAGUUCUUUGGAAUAGGACAUCAUAGAGGGUGAGAAUCCCGUAUUUGACCUUUACUUUCAACUUUGUGAUACACUUUCAAAGAGUCGGAUUGUUUGGGAAUGCAGUCCAAAAUGGGUGGUAAAUUUCAUCUAAAGCUAAAUAUUGGCGAGAGACCGAUAGCGAACAAGUACCGUGAGGGAAAGAUGAAAAGAACUUUGAAAAGAGAGUUAAACAGUACGUGAAAUUGUCAAAAGGGAAGCGUUUGACACCAGUGUUGUUUUUCUGAAAAUCAAUUAAAGAACUGUUUAUGCUAAGUUGUUUAGACUUUAUCAGCUAACUGUUUAGUUUUGAGCUUUUCUUUAAUGCACUUUUCAGUUAACAAGUCAACAUCAAUUUCUUUUGCUGUAAAAAAAGCUUGAGGAAGGUGGCUUGAGAUUCGUCUUAAGUGUUUAUAGCCUCUUGCCUAUGCAGUCGGAGAGAUUGAGGUCUGCAGCGUAGAUCCUUCGGGGCUAAAUGCAUUUGUGCUAAGUUAUAGCAUUUUAUAGACAACUUGUUGACUAUGAUUUGUCUUGUAGCUUACUCGCUUAUGUUAUUUUACCUACGCUUAGGAUGUUGACGCAUGAGAUAUACGC
rnacentral:rRNA from 1 species